rnacentral:piRNA from 1 species
CAAGUGUUGGGAUUAAAGGCGUAUGC